rnacentral:rRNA from 1 species
UACGUAGGGGGCGAGCGUUGUCCGGAAUUACUGGGCGUAAAGGGCGCGUAGGCGGCCCGCUAAGUCCGUUGUGAAAGACCGAGGCUCAACCUCGGGGUGUCAACGGAGACUGGUGGGCUCGAGGGUCGGAGAGGAGCGGGGAAUCCCUGGUGUAGCGGUGGAAUGCGUAGAGAUCAGGGGGAACACCGAUGGCGAAGGCACCGCUCUGGCCGAAUCCUGACGCUGAGGCGCGAAAGCUGGGGGAGCGAACGGG